rnacentral:tRNA from 1 species
GGUUUAAAAAGAAUAUUUGAGUGCAAAUCAAAUGGUGGGCCUUGAGGGUCCUUGAACC